GAUGAACGCUGGCGGCGUGCCUAAUACAUGCAAGUCGAGCGAACGGACGAGAAGCUUGCUUCUCUGAUGUUAGCGGCGGACGGGUGAGUAACACGUGGAUAACCUACCUAUAAGACUGGGAUAACUUCGGGAAACCGGAGCUAAUACCGGAUAAUAUUUUUGAACCGCAUGGUUCAAAAGUGAAAGACGGUCUUGCUGUCACUUAUAGCUGGAUCCGCGCUGCAUUAGCUAGUUGGUAAGGUAACGGCUUACCAAGGCAACGAUGCAUAGCCGACCUGAGAGGGUGAUCGGCCACACUGGAACUGAGACACGGUCCAGACUCCUACGGGAGGCAGCAGUAGGGAAUCUUCCGCAAUGGGCGAAAGCCUGACGGAGCAACGCCGCGUGAGUGAUGAAGGUCUUCGGAUCGUAAAACUCUGUUAUUAGGGAAGAACAUAUGUGUAAGUAACUGUGCACAUCUUGACGGUACCUAAUCAGAAAGCCACGGCUAACUACGUG
rnacentral:rRNA from 1 species